GCGUUGCGCAGCUCCGCCGAGUAGUUCUCGUCAUUCCCGGCCAUCACCGUCACCAGGGUCCCGUCGGGGACAUCCCCCAGGGCCACCACCUGCAACAGCAAGAGCAGAACCCUCAGCUCUCCUCCUGUUUCGUUGGCAGGAGCAUAAAGCAAAUAAUUUUCAGACCUCACCCUUGAGUGGAUGGAUGGAAAUCAUGACCUGAACUAAGGACUUUCCCCUCUUCCCAAAAUAUUUGUGCUCCUUGGUGCAGGAAUCCAUCAAACCUUUAGGAACACAGGAUUCACUGGGGUUUUGGACAUUUUCCACAUCAGCGCGGCAUUCCCAGCGUUCAGGGAUGGGGAUGGGGCAGGAGAAGGAAGAGCUGCCCCUCCUGUGCUUCCUCCGCCUGGGAUCCCCCAGGAAAAACCGGGAUUCCUCUUAUCUCCCUUCCCGGCUUUCCUCUCCCGAAUUUCUCCCUUCCAGCAGGAAAACUCUGCUAAUGACCAGCCCGGUGCGUGAGGAAGCGUGUAAUAAUUAAUCUAAAUGUGGGAAUUUAGGAAGUGAGCCCGUGAUCAAAUUCCUCCCUUUGCCCCGCUCUUAUCUGCGGGAAAACAAGAGCAGACACAAUAAAACUUUUCCCUCCUCGGCAGGAAUUCCCGAAGCUGAGCUGAUUCCCUUCUCCCUCCUUUCUCCUCUCCCCAAAACAGAGGGAAGGCUCGAGACUGAUGGCCUUCAACACAAAAUAAUAAUAAUAAUAAAAAUUGUGCCUAGCUGGGGUUUAGCAGUGACCGCAAAAAUAAAAGAAAAAAGCCCGAGCUUGACAAAUCCCGAUCCUAAAUGGAGCCCCGGGGCUCCCGGGAGCUGCGUGUCUGUGCGGCUCCCGGCUCGGAGAAAAGGAGAACGCCAAGAAUUCCCUUUUCCUCCAGAAUCCUCAGCAGCAGCGAGAAAAGCAGCGAGUUCAGGGAGUCAGCGGCAGUCCCGGGGCAAAAACAGAGCGAGGGCGAGG